GACGAACUGUCCUAACGUUGUUCGGAAUCACUGGGCUUAAAGGGCGCGUAGGCGGUCCAACAAGUCGGGGGUGAAAUCCUGCAGCUCAACUGCAGAAGUGCCUUCGAUACUGUUGGUCUUGAGGGAAAUAGGGGUGUGCGGAACUUCCGGUGGAGCGGUGAAAUGCGUUGAUAUCGGAAGGAACGCCGGUGGCGAAAGCGGCGCACUGGAUUUCUUCUGACGCUGAGGCGCGAAAGCUAGGGGAGCAAACGGGG
rnacentral:rRNA from 1 species